rnacentral:sRNA from 1 species
UGAUCUAGUAAUCCAUCGAUCAGUUCAAU